CGGUUAAAAAGCUCGUAGUUGGAUUUCUGUUGAGGUCGGGCGGUGUACACCUCGUGUAUUAUUUGCUCCGGUCUCGGCAUCCUCUUGGGGAACGUUUCAGGACUUUAUUGGACUGGGCGAGAUUCAAGACUUUUACUUUGAGGAAAUUAGAGUGUUCACGGCAGGCAAGUGCUUUGAAUACAUUAGCAUGGAAUAAUAAUAUAGGACCUUCGUUCUAUUUUGUUGGUUUCUAGAACUUAGGUAAUGAUUAAUAGGGACAAUUGGGGGCAUUCGUAUUAACGCGUCAGAGGUGGAAUUCUUGGAUUGCGUUACGACGAACUACUGCGAAAGCAUUUGCCAAAGAUGUUUUCAUGGAUCAAGAACGAAAGUAUGGGGAUCGAAGACGCUUAGAUACCGUCGUAGUCUAUACCAUAAACUAUGCCAACUAGAGAUCGGUGGGGUUAUCCUAUGUGGCUCCAUCGGCAUCUUAUGAGAAAUCAAAGUUUUUGGGUUCCGGGGGGAGUAUGGUCGCAAGGCUGAAACUUAAAGGAAUUGACGGAAGGGCACCACCAGGAGUGGAGCCUGCGGCUUAAUUUGACACAACACGGGAAAACUCACCAGGUCCAGACAUAGUAAGGAUUGACAGAUUGAUAGCUCUUUCUU
rnacentral:rRNA from 1 species